rnacentral:rRNA from 1 species
CCUACGGGAGGCAGCAGUGGGGAAUUUUGGACAAUGGGGGCAACCCUGAUCCAGCCAUGCCGCGUGAGUGAAGAAGGCCUUCGGGUUGUAAAGCUCUUUCGGCCGGAACGAAAUCGCGCACGUGAAUAACGUGCGUGGAUGACGGUACCGGAGUAAGAAGCACCGGCUAACUACGUGCCAGCAGCCGCGGUAAUACGUAGGGUGCGAGCGUUAAUCGGAAUUACUGGGCGUAAAGCGUGCGCAGGCGGUUCGCUAAGUCAGACGUGAAAGCCCCGGGCUUAACCUGGGAACGGCGUUUGAAACUGGCGGGCUCGAGUACGGCAGAGGGGGGUGGAAUUCCACGUGUGGCAGUGAAAUGCGUAGAUAUGUGGAGGAACACCGAUGGCGAAGGCAGCCCCCUGGGCCGAUACUGACGCUCAUGCACGAAAGCGUGGGGAGCAAACAGGAUUAGAUACCCUGGUAGUCCACGCCCUAAACUAUGUCAACUAGUUGUCGGGGAAGCAAUUCCUUGGUAACGCAGCUAACGCGUGAAGUUGACCGCCUGGGGAGGUACGGUCGCGAGAUAAACUACUAAGAAGUAGUUAGNGUGAGAGUGCGAGGCGACGACGAGGAGAGG